GAUCAUGGCUCAGAUUGAACGCUAGCGGGAUGCCUUACACAUGCAAGUCGAACGGCAGCACGGACUUCGGUCUGGUGGCGAGUGGCGAACGGGUGAGUAAUGUAUCGGAACGUGCCCAGUAGCGGGGGAUAACUACGCGAAAGCGUAGCUAAUACCGCAUACGCCCUACGGGGGAAAGGCAGGGGAUCGCAAGACCUUGCACUAUUGGAGCGGCCGAUAUCGGAUUAGCUAGUUGGUGGGGUAACGG
rnacentral:rRNA from 1 species